rnacentral:rRNA from 1 species
AUUGAACGCAGGCGGCAUGCCUUACACAUGCAAGUCGAACGGCAGCACGGCGCAACCUGGUGGCGAGUGGCGAACGGGUGAGUAAUAUAUCGGAACGUACCUUUCAGUGGGGGAUAACGUAGCGAAAGUUACGCUAAUACCGCAUAUUCUGUGAGCAGGAAAGCAGGGGAUCGCAAGACCUUGCGCUGAUUGAGCGGCCGAUAUCAGAUUAGGUAGUUGGUGGGGUAAAGGCCUGCCAAGCCUACGAUCUGUAGCGGGUCUGAGAGGAUGAUCCGCCACACUGGGACUGGGACACGGCCCAGACUCCUACGGGAGGCAGCAGUGGGGAAUUUUGGACAAAGGGGGCAACCCUGAUCCAGCCAUGCCGCGGGAGUGAAGAAGGCCUUCGGGUUGUAAAGCUCUUUCGGCCGGGAAGAAAUCGCGCAGGCUAAUAUCCUGCGUGGAUGACGGUACCGGAAUAAGAAGCACCGGCUAACUACGUGCCAGCAGCCGCAGUAAGAC